GAUGAACGCUGGCGGCGUGCCUAAUACAUGCAAGUCGAGCGAACAGACGAGGAGCUUGCUCCUCUGACGUUAGCGGCGGACGGGUGAGUAACACGUGGAUAACCUACCUAUAAGACUGGGAUAACUUCGGGAAACCGGAGCUAAUACCGGAUAAUAUAUUGAACCGCAUGGUUCAAUAGUGAAAGACGGUUUUGCUGUCACUUAUAGAUGGAUCCGCGCCGCAUUAGCUAGUUGGUAAGGUAACGGCUUACCAAGGCAACGAUGCGUAGCCGACCUGAGAGGGUGAUCGGCCACACUGGAACUGAGACACGGUCCAGACUCCUACGGGAGGCAGCAGUAGGGAAUCUUCCGCAAUGGGCGAAAGCCUGACGGAGCAACGCCGCGUGAGUGAUGAAGGUCUUCGGAUCGUAAAACUCUGUUAUUAGGGAAGAACAAAUGUGUAAGUAACUAUGCACGUAUUGACGGUACCUAAUCAGAAAGCAACGGCUAACUACGUG
rnacentral:rRNA from 1 species